GCCUAUGAAGGCCCGGAGACCGAAUGCGGAUGUCUGCGCCACCACCCUGGAGUUCCCGUCUUCCACGAGGGAUAUAAGUACUGGAGCUGCUGCUGCAUAAAGACAUGGACUUCAAUGCUUUCCUCGACCAGAAGGGCUGCACCUCGGGGAAACACUGCUGGAUCCCGAAGAAGGACAAGAAGAAGGUUGCAUGUCGACACGACUGGCACCAGACAGGAAAAAACGUAGUUGUAACAGUUUACGCCAAGAACCCAAACCCGAAACUGUGC